rnacentral:tRNA from 1 species
GGAGAGGUGCUAGAGUGGUCGAAUAGGGUACUCUCGAAAAGUGCUGUACGGUUUCCGUACCGUGGGUUCGAAUCCCACCCUCUCCG